GUUGGGAAAUAUGGUGUGCAGUCGGGUCGGUACCAUGUACCAUCGGUAUAGGAUUUUCCUGGAUGCUUCCAGGUGUGCUGUACUUGUUGUGAGCCCUAUAUGAGAAGUGAAAAUCUUUUCCCAUUCGUUUGGGGGUAUUGUGACCUGGAGGUCUGUCUGCCAGUCCUGCAUAAACUUCCAUGUGUCGCUGUUUUUAGGGUUGGCAAGGUGGUCGUAACAGGUGGAAACUGUUUUCCUUGGAGGGGCUAGGGAGAGGCAUUGUGCUUCAAA